rnacentral:misc_RNA from 1 species
GUAAAAUGGUUAACAUCGUAUCUAGUGAAGGGACAACUGCAGGAACUGCUCAAUUAUCAUCUGAGCUUGGUCAAGUGGCAGUGGAUAGAGAUGUUGCUCCUAAUUCUGAUGCAGCCUAAAGAAAGCUCCAGGAAAUGGAACAUAAAGUGGUGGUUGAGAAAAAGCGUGUAAAAUCAGCUAUGAAAAAAGUGGAAAAGCAAAGAAAGGCUGCAGAAGCAUAUAAAAAGAAGGCAUCCAAAGAAAAACAUCGUGCUGAUCAGCUAUCUGAAGUGGUUAAAAAUUACAGAAAACAGGUUGAAGAACUGCAGAAAGAAAUUAAAAAGUCAAUUUCUACAAGGUCAUUAGCCG